UACGAAGGGGGCUAGCGUUGCUCGGAAUCACUGGGCGUAAAGGGUGCGUAGGCGGGUCUUUAAGUCAGAGGGGAAAUCCUGGAGCUCAACUCCAGAACUGCCUUUGAUACUGAAGAUCUUGAGUUCGGGAGAGGUGAGUGGAACUGCGAGUGUAGAGGUGAAAUUCGUAGAUAUUCGCAAGAAUACCAGUGGCGAAGGCGGCUCACUGGCCCGAUACUGACGCUGAGGCACGAAAGCGUGGGGAGCAAACAGG
rnacentral:rRNA from 1 species